UGUUUCCAUUAAUCAAGAACGAAAGUUAGAGGUUCGAAGGCGAUCAGAUACCGCCCUAGUUCUAACCAUAAACGAUGCCAGCCAGCGAUCCGGCUGUGUUCCUCAAAUGACACGCCGGGCAGCUUCCGGGAAACCAAAGCUUUUGGGUUCCGGGGGAAGUAUGGUUGCAAAGCUGAAACUUAAAGGAAUUGACGGAAGGGCACUACCAGGAAUGGAGCCUGCGGCUUAAUUUGACUCAACACGGGGAAGCUUACCUGGAUAGGACACAGGAAGGAUUGACAGAUUAAGAGCUCUUUCUUGAUUCUGUGGAAGGUGGUGCAUGGCCAUUCUUAGUUGGUGGAGCGAUUUGUCUGGUUAAUUCCGAUAACGAUCGAGACUCUAGCCUACUAAAUAGGCGUUCCGAUCCUUGCUGUCGGACGCUCUUCUUAGAGGGACACGCGGCGUUUAGCCGCACGAGACAGAGCAAUAGUAGGUCUGUGAUGCCCUUAGAUGUCCAGGGCCGCACGCGCGCUACAAUGAAGGAAUCAGCGUGUGCUUUCCCUGUCCGACAGGACUGGGUAACCCGUUGAACCUCCUUCGUGCUUGGGAUAGGCGUUUGUAAUUGUCCGCCUUGAACGAGGAAUUCCCAGUAAGCGCGAGUCAUCAGCUCGUGUUGAUUACGUCCCUGCCCUUUGUGCACACCGCCCGUCGCAACAUCCGAUGGAAUGAUUUAGUGAGGUCCUCAGACUGGCGCUCGGAUUGAUCUUCUCGGUCGAGCCGGCGUGCCGGAAAGAUGAUCGAACUUGGUCAUUUAGAGGAAGUUAAAGUCGUAACAAGGUUUC
rnacentral:rRNA from 1 species